rnacentral:lncRNA from 1 species
UAUAAGUAGGAUUUGAUUAUAAUUUAUUUAAGAUUUGAUAAGAUGUGAUUAAGAUUUAGGAUUUCAUUAGAGUUUGGUCUAGGAUUGGGAUUUAGAAUUUGAUUAGGAUUUGAUUAAGAUUUGGCCUAAGAUUAGGAUUUAGGAUUUGAUUAGGAUUUGUCUUAAGAUUAAGAUUUAAGAUUUAAUUAGGAUUUGAUUAAGAUUUGUCCAAGAUUUGAUUAAGCUUUGCCUAAAAUUUGAUUAAAAUUUA